AUGAACGCUGGCGGCGUGCCUAAUACCUGCCGGUCGAGCGCACGGACGAGAAGCUUGCUUCUCUGAUGUUAGCGGCGGACGGGUGAGUAACACGUGGAUAACCUACCUAUAAGACUGGGAUAACUUCGGGAAACCGGAGCUAAUACCGGAUAAUAUUUUGAACCGCAUGGUUCAAAAGUGAAAGACGGUCUUGCUGUCACUUAUAGAUGGAUCCGCGCUGCAUUAGCUAGUUGGUAAGGUAACGGCUUACCAAGGCAACGAUGCAUAGCCGACCUGAGAGGGUGAUCGGCCACACUGGAACUGAGACACGGUCCAGACUCCUACGGGAGGCAGCAGUAGGGAAUCUUCCGCAAUGGGCGAAAGCCUGACGGAGCAACGCCGCGUGAGUGAUGAAGGUCUUCGGAUCGUAAAACUCUGUUAUUAGGGAAGAACAUAUGUGUAAGUAACUGUGCACAUCUUGACGGUACCUAAUCAGAAAGCCACGGCUAACUACGUG
rnacentral:rRNA from 1 species